rnacentral:tRNA from 1 species
UUAACUGAAGCCAAAAAAGAGGUAAAUCACUGUUAAUGAUUAAAUUGAAUAUUUAUUCCAGUUAAA